rnacentral:rRNA from 1 species
UCGUGAACGUUACCUACAUCGUUGCUUCGGCGGGUGGCGGGCUUCGGCCCUGCCCUCGGCCCCUCUCGGGGGCCCGCCGGAGGUACACCAAACUCUUGAAUUUACAUGGCCUCUCUGAGUCUUCUGUACUGAAUAAGUCAAAACUUUCAACAACGGAUCUCUUGGUUCUGGCAUCGAUGAAGAACGCAGCGAAAUGCGAUAAGUAAUGUGAAUUGCAGAAUUCAGUGAAUCAUCGAAUCUUUGAACGCACAUUGCGCCCGCCAGUAUUCUGGCGGGCAUGCCUGUCCGAGCGUCAUUUCAACCAUCAAGCCCCCGGCUUGUGUUGGGGACCUGCGGCACACCCGCAGGCCCUGAAAACCAGUGGCGGGCUCGCUGUCCACACCGAGCGUAGUAGCAUAUCUUUGUCUCGCUCAGGGCGUGCGGCGGGUUCCGGCCGUGAAACCCACCUUCUCGAAGGUACCCAAAGGUUGACCUCGGAUCAGGUAGGAAGACCCGCUGAACUUAAGCAUAUCAAUAA